rnacentral:rRNA from 1 species
UACGGAGGGUGCGAGCGUUGUCCGGAAUCAUUGGGCGUAAAGGGCGCGUAGGUGGCCCGGUCAGUCCGUGGUGAAAGCGCGGGGCUCAACCCUGCGUCGGCCAUGGAUACUGCCGCGGCUGGAGCACUGUAGAGGCAGGCGGAAUUCCGGGUGUAGCGGUGGAAUGCGUAGAGAUCCGGAAGAACACCGGUGGCGAAGGCGGCCUGCUGGGCAGUUUGCUGACACUGAGGCACGAAGGCCAGGGGAGCGAACGGG